rnacentral:rRNA from 1 species
AUCGAACGCCGGCGGCAGGCCUAACACAUGCAAGUCGAGCGGGGUUUUCGGACCUAGCGGCGGACGGGUGAGUAAUGCGUAGGAAGCUGCCCGAUAGAGGGGGAUACCAGUUGGAAACGACUGUUAAUACCGCAUAAUGUCUACGGACCAAAGUGUGGGACCUUCGGGCCACAUGCUAUCGGAUGCGCCUACGUGGGAUUAGCUAGUUGGUGAGGUAAUGGCUCACCAAGGCGACGAUCUCUAGCUGGUUUGAGAGGAUGAUCAGCCACACUGGAACGGGGACACGGUCCAGCCUCCUACGGGAGGCAGCAGUGGGGAAUAUUGGACAAUGGGCGCAAGCCUGAUCCAGCCAUGCCGCGUGUGUGAAGAAGGCCUUCGGGUUGUAAAGCACUUUCAGCGAGGAGGAAGGGGUGUGUGUUAAUAGUACACACCUUUGACGUUACUCGCAGAAGAAGCACCGGCUAACUCUGUGCCAGCCGCCGCAGUAAUAC